rnacentral:rRNA from 1 species
AGAGCGAACGCUGGCGGCAGGCCUAACACAUGCAAGUCGAGCGCCCCGCAAGAGGAGCGGCAGACGGGUGAGUAACACGUGGGAACGUGCCCAAAGGUACGGAACAACUCCGGGAAACUGGAGCUAAUACCGUAUGUGCCCGAAAGGGGAAAGAUUUAUCGCCUUUGGAUCGGCCCGCGUCUGAUUAGCUAGUUGGCGGGGUAAUGGCCCACCAAGGCGACGAUCAGUAGCUGGUCUGAGAGGAUGACCAGCCACAUUGGGACUGAGACACGGCCCAAACUCCUACGGGAGGCAGCAGUGGGGAAUAUUGGACAAUGGGCGCAAGCCUGAUCCAGCCAUGCCGCGUGAGUGAUGAAGGCCUUAGGGUUGUAAAGCUCUUUCGCCGAGGACGAUAAUGACGGUACUCGGAUAAGAAGCCCCGGCUAACUUCGUGCCAGCAGCCGC